rnacentral:rRNA from 1 species
GGGGCGCAGCAGGCGAGAAAACUUUGCAAUGUGCGAAAGCACGACAAGGUUAAUCCGAGUGAUUUCUGCUAAAGAAAUCUUUUGCCAGUCAUAAAACCACUAGUGAAUAAGGGGUGGGCAAGUUCUGGUGUCAGCCGCCGCGGUAAAACCAGCACCUCAAGUGGUCAGGAGGAUUAUUGGGCCUAAAGCAUCCGUAGCCGGCUCUGUAAGUUUUCGGUUAAAUCUAUACGCUCAACGUAUAGGCUGCCGAAAAUACUGCAGAGCUAGGGAGUGGGAGAGGUAGACGGUACUCGGUAGGAAGGGGUAAAAUCCUUUGAUCUAUCGAUGACCACCUGUGGCGAAGGCGGUCUACCAGAACACGUUCGACGGUGAGGGAUGAAAGCUGGGGGAGCAAACCGGAUUAGAURCCCGGGUAGUCCCAGCUGUAAACGAUGCAGACUCGAUGAUGCAUUGGCAUAUAGCCAGUGCAGUGUCGCAGGGAAGCCGUUAAGUCUGCCGCCUGGGAAGUACGUACGCAAGUAUGAAACUUAAAGGAAAUGGCGGGGGAGCCCCACAAGGG